rnacentral:rRNA from 1 species
UCCUUCUAAAACUUUUGCGCAAGAAAGGAUUUUUAAUUCAACAUCGAGGUCAUAAUCUUACUUGUCAAUUAGAUCUUUCUAAGUAAAUUAAGCUGUUAUCCCUAAAGUAACUUAUUUCUCUUUUAAAAAUUCUAGAUAUUUAAACAAGUCUGUUUUACCUUUUAGGAAAAGAUCUUUUCCCUACCGCCCCAGUAAAAUACUUUUCCACUUUAUAAGGGGGGAAAAGUAUAAAGUUUUAUAGGGUCUUCUUGUCUAAAAGAAAGAUUUUAGCCUUCUUACUAAAAAGUAAAAUUCAUUUUCUUAGAUAAAAAAAAAUUCUCCCGGUUUACUCUUUCAUUCCAGUCUCAAAUUAAAAGA